rnacentral:rRNA from 1 species
UGGGGGAUAUUGCACAAUGGGGGGAACCCUGAUGCAGCGACGCCGCGUGGACGAGGAAGUAUUUCGGUAUGUAAAGUCCUAUCAGCAGGGAAGAAGCAUGUUGAAAGACACAUGCGUGACGGUACCUGACUAAGAAGCACCGGCUAAAUACGUGCCAGCAGCCGCGGUAAUACGUAUGGUGCAAGCGUUAUCCGGAUUUACUGGGUGUAAAGGGAGCGCAGGCGGCGCGCCAAGUCUGAUGUGAAAGCCCGGGGCCCAACCCCGGCACUGCAUUGGAAACUGGCGUGCUUGAGUGUCGGAGGGGCAAGUGGAAUUCCUAGUGUAGCGGUGAAAUGCGUAGAUAUUAGGAGGAACACCAGUGGCGAAGGCGGCUUGCUGGACGACUACUGACGCUGAGGCUCGAAAGCGUGGGGAGCAAACAGG